AUGGUAUUGCCAACCAUGAAGAGUGCUGACAGUGGCGCUGUAGCACACGCUGAGCAGGAAGAGGCUGAUGAAGAUGCUGAUGGUUGCACAGAGCCCAUCCAGCUCCCUGUCCUGGGCCUCAGCACAGGUCUUGUCCAGUUCCAUCUCUGCACAGAAAAGGAGAAGCCAGUGUUUGCAGUAACAAGAUCCCUGAGCUCUCAACAAUCCCAGUGCCCCAGCCUUGUCUUUGUCCUGAAAGCUGCGUCUUCUCAAUCAUGCAUGGGCAGGAAGUGGGGUGGCAUUCGCAUCUCUGGGAAAGACAAGAGAAGGCCAGGACCAAAACAGGAAGAGAAGGAGUUGCUUUCAAGGCUUCCACAAAGGAGUGGGUUCAGCAGAGAAAGGAGCUGCUGCGAAGGGAGAGGACCAGAGACUGGGGGCAUCCGUGGCCCUUCUGGGUCUUUGAGUCAUCAUAUCACAGGAGACUGGGAAGGAGCUGACAGACCAACCCUGACAGAAGAAGCCUGUGUGUUGAAGAGAAAGAUUCCUGCCUGCAGCCUGGUGUCAACCAAGCAGCCUCUGGGAGCCCAUGGACGGAAGCACAACAAGCAACUAGAACUGCCCACACCCACAGACAGAGCGGCCUGUGGAAGCCUCCAAGAGGCGAUAGGAUGUGGCAGAAAGCCUGAGGGAUGGGUUUGGCCUGGACUACAGGUUGACAGAGCCCAGGCAGCUGAGCCAGUGAGGAAAGGAGAGCCAACAGAUGCAGAGGCCUGUGCCACAACAACAGCCCCAUCUGUCUAUCCACUGGCUCCUGGAUCUGGAGGCACAUCUGGCUCCACAGUGACCCUGGGAUGCCUGGUCAAGGGCUAUUUCCCUGAGCCGGCAACUGUAACCUGGAACUCUGGAUCCCUGACCAGCGGUGUGCACAUCUUCCCAUCUGUCCUGCAUUCUGGUCUCUACUCCCUCAGCAGCUCAGUGACUGUGUCCUCCAGCACCUGGCCCAGCCAGCCGGUCAUCUGCAACGUAGCCCAUCCGGCCAGCAACACCAAGGUGGACAAGAAAGUUGUGCCCAGAGUUGGCUGUUCCAAGCCUUCGUCAUGUCCAGGCCCAGAAGUAUCAUCCGUCUUCAUCUUCCCACCAAAGCCCAAGGACCUGCUCACAAUUUCUCUGAGUCCCAAGGUCACGUGUGUAGUGGUGGACAUUAGCCAGGAUGAUCCGGAGGUCCAGUUCAGCUGGUUUGUAGAUGACACGGAAGUGCAUACAGCUCAGACGAAACCCCGGGAGGAGCAGUUCAACAGCACCUUCCGAGUAGUCAGUGUCCUUCCCAUCGUGCACCAGGACUGGCUGAAUGGCAAGGAGUUCAAAUGCAAGGUCAACAGCAUAGCCUUCCCUGCCCCCAUCGAGAAAACCAUCUCCAAGAAGAAAGGGCAAAUUCAGACUCCACAGGUAUACCUCCUACCCCCGCCCAAGGAGCAGAUGACCAAGAAUAGAGUCUCUCUCACCUGCAUGAUAACAGGCUUCUACCCUGAUGAAAUUUAUGUGGAAUGGCAGAAGAAUGGACAGCCAGUGCAGAACUACAAGAACACUCAGCCCGUCUUGGACGAGGAUGAGACUUACUUCCUCUACAGCAAGCUCAAUGUGCAGAAGAUCGAUUGGGAAGCACAAAAUACUUUCACCUGCUCUGUGGUACACGAAGCCCUGCACAAUCACCACACAGAGAAGACUCUCUCCCACUCUCCUGAGCUAGAACUGGAUGACAACUGUGCUGAGGCCCAGGAUGGGGAGCUGGAUGGGCUGUGGACGACCAUCACCAUCUUCAUCACCCUCUUCCUGCUCAGCGUGUGCUACAGCGCCACUGUCACACUCUACAAGGUAAAGUGGAUCUUCUCCUCCGUGGUGGAGCUGAAGCAGACACUGGCUCCUGACUACAGGAACAUGAUUGGACAAGGGCCUUAG